rnacentral:rRNA from 1 species
UACGAAGGGGGCUAGCGUUGUUCGGAAUCACUGGGCGUAAAGCGCACGUAGCGGAUGUGCCAGUCAGGGGUGAAAUCCCGGAGCUCAACUUCGGAACUGCCUCUGAUACAGCACGUCUUGAGUCCGGAAGAGGUGGGUGGAAUUCCUAGUGUAGAGGUGAAAUUCGUAGAUAUUAGGAAGAACACCGGUGGCGAAGGCGGCCUACUCGUCG